GNNUUGGGCAUGCCCGGANGGUGACCCAGCAACGCCGCGUGGAGGAUGAAUGCCGUAAGGUUGUAAACUCCUGUUAGAAGGGACGAAAAAGUAGUAUUCGUAAGGGUACUAAAUUGACGGUACCUUCAGAGAAAACCCCGGCUAACUACGUGCCAGCAGCCGCGGUAAUACGUAGGGGGUUAGCGUUGUCCGGAUUUACUGGGUGUAAAGGGCGCGUAGGCGGAUUUGCAAGUCAGAGGUGAAAUCCUACAGCUUAACUGUAGAACUGCCUUUGAUACUACAAAUCUUGAGUUCAGAAGAGAGAGAUGGAAUUCCAGGUGUAGUGGUGAAAUACGUAGAUAUCUGGAAGAACACCAGUGGCGAAGGCGAUCUUUUGGUCUGACACUGACGCUGAGGCGCGAAAGCGUGGGUAGCAAACAGGAUUAGAUACCCUGGUAGUCCACGCUGUAAACCAUGAAUACUAGAUGUUGGUUCCGUUGGGAUCAGUGUCGAAGCUAACGCAUUAAGUAUUCCACCUGGGGAGUACGAUCGCAAGGUUGAAACUCAAAGGAAUUGACGGA
rnacentral:rRNA from 1 species